CUUCAGAUGACGCACCUUCUACAGAGGGGAGGUUUUACUACACCGACUACGACAACUGCGCUAUCCUCGACAUCCCCUACGACGGACGCCAAUGCAUCCUGUGGACUAAAGAAACAGCCAAAGAUUCGGUGCCCCAAAAAUGCUUGGAUGAGUUCAUGAAGAAUUGUGGCGUAGGCGCCCCACUUUACAUCGAUGACCUUUGCAGUGGUGAUGAAGUCGCCGAAUGGUGAUGAAGAAAAAAAAACGAGCUUACUGCCACCAGGCUGAGAAGUAGAAAUCUUUGAUUUCACCUUCAAAACUUUCUUUGCAGGCGUAAAUGCAAAUGUGUAAUAAAUGUUGAAAAACACUAAAA